GACGUAGGGCGCAAGCGUUGUUCGGAAUUACUGGGCGUAAAGGGCUCGUAGGCGGCCAACUAAGUCAGACGUGAAAUCCCUCGGCUUAACCGGGGAACUGCGUCUGAUACUGGAUGGCUUGAGUUUGGGAGAGGGAUGCGGAAUUCCAGGUGUAGCGGUGAAAUGCGUAGAUAUCUGGAGGAACACCGGUGGCGAAGGCGGCAUCCUGGACCAACACUGACGCUGAGUGAGCGAAAGCCAGGGGAGCAAACGGG
rnacentral:rRNA from 1 species